rnacentral:rRNA from 1 species
GGGCCCGCACAAGCGGUGGAGUAUGUGGUUUAAUUCGAUGCAACGCGAAGAACCUUACCAGGGUUUGACAUCCUGCGAAUCUCUUGGAAACAGGAGAGUGCCUUCGGGAACGCAGUGACAGGUGGUGCAUGGCUGUCGUCAGCUCGUGUCGUGAGAUGUUGGGUUAAGUCCCGCAACGAGCGCAACCCACGUCUUUAGUUGCCAGCAUUUAGUUGGGCACUCUAGAGAGACUGCCGGUGAUAAACCGGAGAAGGUGUGGAUGACGUCAAGUCAUCAUGCCCCUUACAUCUGGGCUACACACGUGCUACAAUGGGUAGGACAAUGAGAUGCAAAUCUGCGAAGACAAGCUUAAUCUAUAAACCUAUCCUA